rnacentral:lncRNA from 1 species
UAAAAUCUCUACACUUUGCCUUUGUGUAUAAUCAAUUUCCAAUAAUAAAAAGUUCAAUGUUUUCCUUCUCUUUCUCUCUUUCAAUUCCCUUCUUUUUUCCUUACUAAAGUGUUAAGAUUAUAAUAUGCUAUCAGAGCAAUAAUUAUAUUUUUUACGACUUCUGGAAGGGUGAGUAGCCCCCAAGAAGGACCAUCUCCACGACCUCAAGGAAUUCCAAUUCGUGCAUUAGAUGCUAGAAGUAACGAGAUAGUAAUAUGGGAAAGUACAUAAGGCCAUUUUGUCUUUGAUUCCCAAUACUUGAAUCAAAUGGUGAACAAAAUCUUAAUGUCUUUGAAUGCUUUUAAUCCUGGCCAUUAUCAACCUCACCAUUCCAUUUCAAGUCAUGAAAGUUUCACGAUUCAAGGAGCAACAAAUUCUUCUUCUAUGCAUUUGUGUUCCAUAUGUCUUGAGGUGCUUUCAUUUGGAUUAGAAGCAAGUUGCAGGCCUAAUUGUUCUUAUAUAUUUCAUCAUAUUCUUGUUUUGUUAUUCUCGAGUAAAAAUUGCUCAUAUUUUGUCAUAUAAUUUUUUAUAUUCUUGAG